rnacentral:rRNA from 1 species
UACGGGGGGGCGAAGCGUUGUUCGGAAUUACUGGGCGGUAAAGGGCUCGUAGGCGGCCAACUAAGUCGGAAUGUGAAAUCCCCAGGCUCAACCUGGGAAACUGCAUCCGAUACUGGAUGGCUUGAAUUCGGGAGAGGGAUGCAGAAUUCAGGUGUAGCGGUGGAAAUGACGUAUGAUAUCUGGAGGAAUACCGGUGGCGAAGGCGACUCUUUGGUCUGUAACUGACGCUGAGGCGCGAAAGCGUGGGGAGCAAACAGG